UGCCAGAGCCAUAUCUCCCUGAAGUUCUCACAUGGUUUCCCACUGAAGCUAAGCAGGGUUGAGGCUGGCCAGUACCUGGAUGGGAGACCCCCUGGGGAAAACUAAGGUUGCUGCUC
rnacentral:rRNA from 1 species